AUUGAACGCUGGCGGCAGGCCUAACACAUGCCAGUCGAGCGGAUGAAGGGAGCUUGCUCCUGGAUUCAGCGGCGGACGGGUGAGUAAUGCCUAGGAAUCUGCCUGGUUGUGGGGGAUAACGUCCGGAAACGGGCGCUAAUACCGCAUACGUCCUGAGGGAGAAAGUGGGGGAUCUUCGGACCUCACGCUCUCAGAUGAGCCUAGGUCGGAUUAGCUAGUUGGUGGGGUAAAGGCCUACCAAGGCGACGAUCCGUAACUGGUCUGAGAGGAUGAUCAGUCACACUGGAACUGAGACACGGUCCAGACUCCUACGGGAGGCAGCAGUGGGGAAUAUUGGACAAUGGGCGAAAGCCUGAUCCAGCCAUGCCGCGUGUGUGAAGAAGGUCUUCGGAUUGUAAAGCACUUUAAGUUGGGAGGAAGGGCAGUAAGUUAAUACCUUGCUGUUUUGACGUUACCAACAGAAUAAGCACCGGCUAACUUCGUG
rnacentral:rRNA from 1 species